rnacentral:misc_RNA from 1 species
CAGAACUAUUAAAAAAAAAAAUCCUGAUUGCUUCUGUUGUUGGAUGAAAGAUUCAGACUGUUCAGCAGAGAAAGCAACACCAAAAAGGAUGUAAAAGAGGCACCAAAAUAAAGAAAACAAAAAGGAAAUAAAAAACAAGACUUAAAUUUAUUUUUCAACAACAGAGUUGAGAGGCUUCCAAAAGCUUCACAACUAGUUUAAAAAUUAUGUGUACUUUAAAAGUUCUGUUCUUUGUGUUCCCUUAAUCCUUUGAAAUAAAAG